CAGGAAUGAGCUUGAAGUCAAGGACACAAAGCAGAGGAUUUUUGAACAGGACAGAAAUGAACGACACACUUUGCUCAGGUGGGAGAGAACUUGUGAGGAAGAUGAGAUCAAGAACACCUGAACAUGCGGUGUUUAAUUUCCAAUGCUGCCACAAUCGCUCCAUCCUGCCUUCGGUUGGAUAAUAAAGACGACUGGAAGAAAGAUCCUUUGAAAUCAUUUUGUUUGCAGUAAGACUGUUACUGAGGAUAUCAUCACUUCAUACGUGUCCUCUCUGUGAGGUCUCUCAAGAGAAAUUUGCUUUGGCUUUAGAUUCAGCAAUAGCUGUUCUUUCGAGCAACUGGUUUUCUUUUAUCUUCUAAACAUUGUGAUGUGUAUGAAGGAUUCUUCCCUGUUGGUGUUGACUGCUAGAGAGCUGAGAGCCAAAUCUGUGAUUCCUUCCUUGUCAUUAUGCACUCAUACACAAAUGCAUACAAACACACACGCACGUGCAUACACACACAUGCACAAACACACAUACAUACAUACAUAAACACACACACAUCUUAAUGUGCUAAUCUCACUCUUGGCUCCAUUUAUGUCCCUACCCUGUUUUCUCUUUGUCUUCUCUGUCUAAUUUUUUAAAAAUCUUGCUCUAUGCCAUGCCUAUUUACAUAAAAAUCCUUUCUUGGAACACGCAGCCCAUUAAUCCAACCUCCAGAGCAUCUCUUGAAUGUGUGCCCUCCCCAUUUUGCUAGAGCUUUCCUACAUCUUGCUUGGAUUGUUGUUGACAGGCUCCCAGGUGUGCUCCCAGACCCUGGUCUUAUGUCUCCAUACAUUCAUCCUCCACAUCUCUGCUAAGAAGAUCUUUUGAAACUUGUCUCUGUUUGCAUACCUUAGUGUCACUCCCUUGCUUUUAAAAUGCAUCACCAGUUUCUUGGAUGAGCACGAGGGCUUCUUCCUCACCCAGGCUGGCCUCCCUCACCUCUUCCAGUCCCUAGCCGCACCAAGCCCCUUGCUGCUCCCUGCUGCCUUCUCCUAGCUCUGGGAUGUAGCUCCUCUCUGUAGGGAUGCCUGCAUCCUCCUUGCUCUGGCUGAUGCCCCACCUUUGUGGACUUGCUCCCACUCUGUGAUCCCAGCAUCCCAUGACAUGGCUUCCACUUCACUGCCAUUCCAGGGCCUGUCACUGCUGUAGCUGAUGGCUCA
rnacentral:lncRNA from 13 species